rnacentral:rRNA from 1 species
UGGGGAAUAUUGCACAAUGGAGGGAACUCUGAUGCAGCGACGCCGCGUGAACGAAGAAGGCUUUCGAGCCGUAAAGUUCUUUUAUAUGGGAAGAUAAUGACGGUACCAUAGAAGAAAGCCCCGUCUAAUUACGUGCCAGCAGCCGCGGUAAUACGUAAGGGGCGAGCGUUGUCCGGAAUUAUUGGGCGUAACGAGUGCGUAGGCGGCAAAUUAAGUCAGAUGUGAAAACUAAGGGCUCAACCCAUAGAUUGCAUCUGAAACUGAUAUGCUUGAGUCAAGGGGAGGAAAGUGGACUUCCUAGUGUAGCGGUGGAAUGCGUAGAUAUUAGAAGGAAUACCGGUGGAGAAGGCGACUUUCUAAACUUGAACUGACGCUGAGGCACGACAGCGUGGGGAGCAAACAGG